UGUUAAAAAGUUUAUCCAUUGAUACGGUUAAAAACUAGUGUAGUUGACGAAAUAACCAAACAGUGACACAUGAUGUGUCAUGUGUAUCUCAUGCUCAAACCAAUUUUUGACAGUAAAAAUAAAUGAUUUUUUUAACA
rfam:Gossypium hirsutum cultivar TM-1 unplaced genomic scaffold scaffold666.1, whole genome shotgun sequence